CGGCGUCGAGCGGCGGACGGGUGAGUAAUGCCUAGGAAAUUGCCCUGGUGUGGGGGAUAACCAUUGGAAACGAUGGCUAAUACCGCAUAAUACCUACGGGUCAAAGAGGGGGACCUUCGGGCCUCUCGCGUCAGGAUAUGCCUAGGUGGGAUUAGCUAGUUGGUGAGGUAAUGGCUCACCAAGGCGACGAUCCCUAGCUGGUCUGAGAGGAUGAUCAGCCACACUGGAACUGAGACACGGUCCAGACUCCUACGGGAGGCAGCAGUGGGGAAUAUUGCACAAUGGGCGCAAGCCUGAUGCAGCCAUGCCGCGUGUGUGAAGAAGGCCUUCGGGUUGUAAAGCACUUUCAGUCGUGAGGAAGGUAGUGUAGUUAAUAGCUGCAUUAUUUGACGUUAGCGACAGAAGAAGCACCGGCUAACUCCGUGCCAGCAGCCGCGGUAAUACGGAGGGUGCGAGCGUUAAUCGGAAUUACUGGGCGUAAAGCGCAUGCAGGUGGUUUGUUAAGUCAGAUGUGAAAGCCCGGGGCUCAACCUCGGAAUAGCAUUUGAAACUGGCAGACUAGAGUACUGUAGAGGGGGGUAGAAUUUCAGGUGUAGCGGUGAAAUGCGUAGAGAUCUGAAGGAAUACCGGUGGCGAAGGCGGCCCCCUGGACAGAUACUGACACUCAGAUGCGAAAGCGUGGGGAGCAAACAGGAUUAGAUACCCUGGUAGUCCACGCCGUAAACGAUGUCUACUUGGAGGUUGUGGCCUUGAGCCGUGGCUUUCGGAGCUAACGCGUUAAGUAGACCGCCUGGGGGAGUACGGUCGCAAGAUUAAAACUCAAAUGAAUUGACGGGGGCCCGCACAAGCGGUGGAGCAUGUGGUUUAAUUCGAUGCAACGCGAAGAACCUUACCUACUCUUGACAUCCAGAGAACUUUCCAGAGAUGGAUUGGUGCCUUCGGGAACUCUGAGACAGGUGCUGCAUGGCUGUCCUCACCUCCUGUUGUGAAAUGUUGGGUUAAUUCCC
rnacentral:rRNA from 1 species